GUAACAAUAGAAAACCAGUUUCGUUUCUCUUCAUCUCUGUCUCGAACUUCUCUUUCGUCUGAAACACCUCCACCAUGAAAGAGAUUUCUGAAACACCUCCUCCAGGAAAGAAGAACAAAGGCUAUGGAAAUCUGAGGCUUAACAAACCAUCGGAAUUGCUAUUCAUUUCUCAUUCUACGGAAAGGUUAGUCAAGUUCCUAACUAUAAUCUAAUUCUUUUAAAUUUGGGAAUUCUAGUCACCGAUUUUCAAAUCAUAUAAAUUGGGUACCAAAAUUGAAUUAGUGAUUCUGUAUUUGUGAAUUUUACUUCUAAAAUUUUGGGUUUUAUUUAGGUAGAUUUAUCUUUAGGAAUGCGUAAUGAAUUAAUGGGUUUGUUGUAAUUGUGAAUAUCUUUGAUUGAAAUUGGUAGAAACUCAAGUUGAAUGAGUUGUAUAUAUUGAACUCAAAUUUAAAUGAAUGUUCACUGAAGUUGAGAAUGAGACUUCGAGGUGAAAGUUUGUUAUACAUGAGAUGAGAAUGCUGGACUGAAGUGGAGAUGGUCUGAAGGGGAGAAAUGCUUCUCUCUGCUUUCGAGCAGCUCAAAGCGUCUGUUGCAGCAUGUAUAAAAGAAAAAAGCUUAGUUCUGCUCGGAAGAGUUGGGAAUUGAAUGCGCUAUUGGUAAUAACAUUCUUGGAAGGAAGGAAUUUGCUGCAAGGCCUGUGCCCUUGGUGUCACAACUGUACGCGCCCAAAAUGAAGACAACUAUGUUGGAUGAUGGUCAAAUUGUUAAUGUCAUUGGCAGACCAGGUAUACAUUGCAUUUACAUUUUUUUUUCUUUUUUUCUUUAUACGCUAAAGCCGGACCUAGGCCUCUACCCAAAUCCAGCCAGCUGGACUAGCCACAUUAUUAGACCCAACUCCACUGCACUUACAUAAUUUUGUAUUUAAAUUAUUUGUUCUUUUUCACUUGCAUAAUUUUGCAUUUAAAUUAUCUGUUCUUUUUCUAUGUUUUCACAUCAAAGAUAAAAUCUUAAGUGAGGUACUUAGCCAAAUUCCUGAGGUGAUAAAUCAUUUUUUCAAGUUUAUUAAGGGAAUUGUAAAUUUUGCACAUGAGAUGGUCAAAUGUAUUAAUCUUGCGAGGAAGGGAUUAAUGGAUUAAUUUUGGUUUAUUCUUUAGAACUA